rnacentral:lncRNA from 1 species
GGAGGGCCGCGGCCGGCGGCUUGCGAGCCGCAGCCGGAGCCGGACCGGGCUGCCCCGGGAGCAACGCGCCGCUGCCUAUUCGGGGUGGAGCCCAGCCGUGGCCCCAGGGUUGUGAGCCCCGGUCCAGCCCCUCCAUCUCCCUGCCCUCCUGAUGAGGCCAUGGGCUCUGGCAGUGACUAAGUGGCCGCCCUCUGCCCCCGUGGGUCACUGUCGAGUCUCUACGAGACCUAGCAGCAGCCCAGGCCAGCUCUGGGGAAGCUGCUGCCCCGACCGCCACACCUCUCUGUAGAGGAGCACCGAGCUUCAGAAGCUCCUGCCGGCAGGAGCCCCCGAAUGCUGCACCCAGCCACCCAGCAGAGCCCGUUCAUGGUUGAUCUCCACGACCAGGUGCACCAGGGACCUGUCCCUCUGUCCUACACAGUCACCACAGUGACAACCCAAGGCUUCCCUUUGCCUGCAAGCCAACAUAUCCCUGGCUGCAGUGCCCAGCAGCUCCCAGCAUGCUCCGUGAUGUUCAGUGGGCAGCACUACCCCCUCUGCUGCCUCCCGCCUCCGGUGAGUGAAUGCUUUCUUCUGCCCAGGUACAUGCUACACUACACUGUCCCUUCCAGCAGAUGUGGUCACAAGCACCCUUAGGAACUGACCUAGGUGCCUAUGCAGUACAUUAGCUUGGCCUUGUGGCCCUGGCCCUUUCCAGAGCUCUGUGUGUGUGUGUGUGUG